rnacentral:rRNA from 1 species
AGUGAACGCUGGCGGCGUGCUUAACACAUGCAAGUCGAACGAGAACGGAAUAUAGCUUGCUAUAUUUGUCAGCUAAGUGGCGCACGGGUGAGUAAUGUAUAGAUAACCUGCCCUUAAGAAAGGAAUAACAGUUGGAAACGACUGCUAAUGCCCUAUAUGCCUUUAAUACAUGAGUAUGCAAGGGAAACGCUUUAGUGCUUAAGGAUGGGUCUGUAUGGUAUCAGCUUGUUGGUGAGGUAAUGGCUCACCAAGGCUAUGACGCCUAACUGGUUUGAGAGGAUGAUCAGUCACACUGGAACUGAGACACGGUCCAGACUCCUACGGGAGGCAGCAGUGGGGAAUAUUGCACAAUGGACGAAAGUCUGAUGCGGCAACGCCGCGUGGAGGAUGACACAUUUCGGUGCGUAAACUCCUUUUAUAUAGGAAGAUAAUGACGGUACUAUAUGAAUAAGCACCGGCUAACUCCGUGCCAGCAGCCGCCGUAACAC